rnacentral:rRNA from 1 species
AAUAUUGGACAAUGGGCGAAAGCCUGAUCCAGCCAUGCCGCGUGUGUGAAGAAGGNCUNNGGAUUNUNAAGCACUUUAAGUUGNNNNNAAGGGCUUUAGGCUAAUACCCUGAAGUUUUGACGUUACCAACAGAAUAAGCACCGGCUAACUCUGUGCCAGCAGCCGCGGUAAUACAGAGGGUGCAAGCGUUAAUCGGAAUUACUGGGCGUAAAGCGCGCGUAGGUGGUUUGUUAAGUUGGAAGUGAAAGCCCCGGGCUUAACCUGGGAACUGCUUUCAUAACUGCUGAGCUAGAGUACGGUAGAGGGUAGUGGAAUUUCCUGUGUAGCGGUGAAAUGCGUAGAUAUAGGAAGGAACAUCAGUGGCGAAGGCGACCACCUGGGCUAAUACUGACACUGAGGUGCGAAAGCGUGGGGAGCAAAC